AUUUGGAGAGGAUGCUUCUGGCGCGGCGCCGUCCAAGUUCCCUAGAACGGGACGCCACAGAGGGUGAGAGCCCCGUACGGUCGGACGCCCAGCCAGUGUGAAGCUCCUUCGACGAGUCGAGUAGUUUGGGAAUGCUGCUCAAAAUGGGAGGUAAAUUUCUUCUAAAGCUAAAUACCGGCCAGAGACCGAUAGCGCACAAGUAGAGUGAUCGAAAGAUGAAAAGCACCUUGAAAAGAGGGUUAAACAGUACGUGAAAUUGUUGAAAGGGAAGCGCCUGCGACCAGACUUGCGCCCCGCGGACCACCCGGCGUUCUCGCCGGUGCACUCCGCGGGGCGCAGGCCAGCAUCGGCUUCCCCAGGGGGACAAAGGUCGCGGGAACGUAGCUCCUCCGGGAGUGUUAUAGCCCGCGGCGCCAUGCCCCUGGGGGGGCCGAGGACCGCGCUUCGGCAAGGAUGCUGGCGUAAUGGUCGUCGGCGACCCGUCUUGAAACACGGACCAAGGAGUCAAGCAUUGGGGCGAGUGUCUGGGUGCCAAACCCGCACGCGAAAUGAAAGUAAACGCAGGUGAGAGCUUCGGCGCAUCAUCGACCGAUCCUGAUGUCUUCGGAUGGAUUUGAGUAAGAGCCUUACCGCUUGGACCCGAAAGAUGGUGAACUAUGCCUGUAUAGGGUGAAGCCAGAGGAAACUCUGGUGGAGG
rnacentral:rRNA from 1 species